UUUUAGAAGUUGCACUGAGGGCACAAAACCCCCUCACUUCUCCAUCAAAUGAGGACAAAACACAGAAAUGACCGACAAGUGCAUGAACACUGAAUACUCUGAGUGUUUGCUGUGACAGACUAAACACAAAGUCCCUCCAUGCUCUUCUCAAGCUUUGUGCUCAAUGUGGAGUCCCAAAGAAGUAGCCAUGGACACCAGAGGCAGUUGUACCCACUGUCACAAUUGCCACAUCCCAGACAGCCUUCUGACCCCCAGCAUACUGUGUUGACAGAAGUGUCCUACAGUCAGACACCACAGCAUUGUUUGAGAUCCAAGCACAAGCUCCACAACAGGAGCUCCAUCUGCUCCAGGAUGCAGCUGGUGGCAGAGCACCUCUCUGAGGGGACAAAGAUCUAUUUUUGUUGACAUUUGCCACCCCUCAAGCAGCCAUCUAGUGUGACACAUCACAGUCCCUUCAGACACCUGAGUUUAUACAAUUCACUGUCCCUUUAAAGGCCACACUCCUGCAGGGAGUACUGGAAGUCUUGGCUGUGGAAAGGCUGAUCCAGUGGAGAACCAGCCCAGCAGCUGAGUGAUCUGUCCAUAGCCAGGAGCUCAGCACACACCUGGACACAAAGUGAAAGAUACUGAAAUACAGAAACUCUGCCAGGUCUCUAGAAAGAAUCUGUGAGAUCCCACUGUCUUAACUUUCAAAAUCAUUGCAAGAUUUUUCCCAAGGAAUUUAAUUUGAUAUAUGCAGUGAAUUGAUCAAUGCUCUCCAGCACAAAAGUCCUCAUCCAAGUUCAUCCCUGCACAUGCAGCUACUACCCUGCUUUCACACUAAUGCUGACUUUCUGAAGUGUCACAGGCAGCAAUCCUUCUGUUUAGGAUCAAAGUUGCAGCAAGGAAGAUCUCAGAAGUCUCAGCCAAAGUAGUUCCUUGCUAGGGCUGUGCUGUGAAGCUGAACCAGUGUGAACCCAACCAUAGGAGUCUCCUUCUGCCAGUUAUUUCUCUGCCCCAGGGAUGAGCCAAGCCUAAAACAGGAGAUGCCCAGGAAGAUCAUGGUCAGAUGGCCAUGUGGCCUGGCCCAAGCAGUGGGAGAAAAUGAAGCCACUUCAAGGCUCCUGAAGAUGCAAAAUUUCAGUUUGGAGCAAGAGGUACCGAGUACCUGGAGCCUUCCCUAACAUCACUGGGUUCAUCUGGAUGCACAUCUCUGGGAUACAUCUUGGUGCUAAGGGGUAUCUGUAUUUGAUCCUGAGUGAAUGAAAACAUUCUGUGUUAAAAUAAAUCACCUUCCCCUCCUUUAA